UACGAAGGGGGCUAGCGUUGCUCGGAAUCACUGGGCGUAAAGGGUGCGUAGGCGGGUCUUUAAGUCAGGGGUGAAAUCCUGGAGCUCAACUCCAGAACUGCCUUUGAUACUGAGGAUCUUGAGUACGGGAGAGGUGAGUGGAACUGCGAGUGUAGAGGUGAAAUGCGUAGAGAUCCGGAGGAACCCCAGAGGCGAAGGCGGCGCCCUGGCUCGCAACUGACGCUCAGACACGACAGCAUGGGGAGCGAACGGG
rnacentral:rRNA from 1 species